UUGAGCAAACUCUGGGAGCUAGUGGAGGACAGAGGAGCCUGGUGUGGCACAGUCCAUGGGGUCACAAAGAGUUGGACAUGAUUUCAUUACUGAACGACAGCAACAAGGAAUAUUGAUUGCUGUAGCCUGGACCAAGUGGGACUUCGUACUUCUCAGGCCUGGGCUGGAGAGGGCCUAGGACUUAGGAGCACUGCCAGUUUUCCUCUUGCCCAGCGCCUGAUGCCAAGCCUGAAGGUUCAGCCUUGGCGAGGUUUCUCAGGUCCUAGAGUCAUCUGGUCAGGUGUCUUGAGGGGUUGGCCACUAUAGGGAUAGGGAUGAGGAUAGAAAUGAGGUGAAAGUGGGGUCUGGUCUAUUCACUUCACAGCCCAUGCUGUUUGAGUUCAAGUUUCUAGGACCAAGAAGGAUCCCUGGGCAGCUGGCAAGGUAUUCAGCUAGGACCUCAUAGGGCAACAUUUACCUGGCCCUUCGCCACCACCAUCUUAGUGCUACAGGUGUGGAAAUUUAUUUUCAUCAGCAUGUGGAUGUUCUUCAGGCUCCCAGAGACUCAUGCGGACCCAGCCUGGUGUGUUCAUUAUGGGAGCAGAACCGCCAAGGGAAAUGGAUACAAAAGCCCUCUGACCAGUAUACCUUCUCCUUCAGGCAGCUCCAGAAGGGCAGAAAACUAGCAUCAAAAGGCUUUGGUAGGCAGGAAUCUGAGUUACACAGGCCAGCCUAGGGUUAGGAGCACCAGCCCUGAUGGAUAACCUGGGGGCUGAUCCUUUCCAUUGAGAAUGUGUGACCAGAACGUGGACUGGGGUGGGGGCAGUGCUGGCAGAGCCAUGGCUUAAUCAUCUCUUAGAAGUUUCUUUUUAUUCUCUAGGUGCAACCAGUCUCCUUUGUGGGGCACAUUCCUUCAUUAGCCUUAUAUACCUUUAUUCCAAUUAUAGUUGGUUCUGUCUGGACAGAGAUUUUUGGAAAACACCACAUGUAUACAUUUAUCCAAGUCAUAUAUGUAUGUAUGUAUUUUGGCAGGAGAGGAUCUUAUGCUCCCUCUCAUUUUCUACCUACAUUUAACCCAACACUCCUCUGCUCAGAUAACAGAGACAGCCUUGGAUAGUGGUGGGUACAGAGAAUAGUGGGACCCCAGUGGGGCUCUGUGAAAUUAACCAGGAAGAAGGGCUCUGUGAAAUUAACCAGGAAGUACCAGAUAGAGUGAGCAGGAGCUGGGCAGGGCCAGGUAGGAAGCUGCUGCAGGAACUCCAAUGGAGCAGCCCGAGGGCGUGGGCUGGGAGGAGCAGGCAGGUGAGUGGUGUUAUCUGUCUUGGGAAGGAGGAAAUGAUAGGCCUCAGAAACUGACUAAAUAUCAGAGGCCAGCCCUGAUGUUCCAACUCCCAGGAGACUCCAGACAAGUGGCAGUAGAGUCUGCAUGUAGCAGUUAUCAUUGUGUUGCUGCUCACCGCGGGUCCUGAAGAAUUCCCAGGAGACCGAUGGGCUUGCCUGUUAUUCCUGUGCUGAGCAGUUCCACCUCCACCCCAGCGCAGCCCUACGUGCCUGAGGAGAAAAGGACGGGAGAACCAGGGCCCUAAUUGGUUGCUGCUGGACCAUUUUGGAUGGAGUGCAGCAGCAGUGUUCCUGCUCGGGGAGCCAGCACAGUUCUCCAAGGAGGGGCAGUCAGCGGGGCCAUUUUCAGGAGGCUGUGUCCACCUGUGAUGGACCAACUGCAGCUGGAAGGAGCCUCACAGACCUCCCAGCUCCACCUUGGAGAGGAAGUAUCCCAGCACGGGAAGAGGGACGGCCCGGCUCUGGACUGGUCAGGAGCCCUUCUGCCUGCCUGGUCUCCUCCCCUGACUGUCACCGCCUCUGCAGCAGGAUUCUGCCCCCUGAUUAUUGUGAUGCAUCGCCUGUUUGGUUUUUCUCUGUUUAACACCCACACUCAUUUUGUGCAUGAAUGAGUACAAUGAAACCAAUUUAAUUUGCUGUUAA